rnacentral:rRNA from 2 species
CGCUAGCUGUGUGCUUAAUACAUGCAUGUUGAACGGAAUAUUUUAGUUCGCUAAAAUAUUUAGUAGCAAAUGGGUGAGUAACACGUACCUAACCUACCUUUUGGACUGGGAUAACCAUUGGAAACAGUGGCUAAUACCGGAUAUGAUAAAAAUUUGCAUGAAUUUUUAUUCAAAGGAGCCUUCAAGCUUCACCAAGAAAUGGGGGUGCGCAACAUUAGUUAGUUGGUAGGGUAAAAGCCUACCAAGACGAUGAUGUUUAGCGGGGCCAAGAGGUUGUACCGCCACACUGGGAUUGAGAUACGGCCCAGACUCCUACGGGAGGCAGCAGUAAGGAAUAUUCCACAAUAAGCGAAAGCUUGAUGGAGCGACACAGCGUGCAGGAUGAAGUCUUUCGGGAUGUAAACUGCUGUUGUAAGGGAAGAAAAAACUAGAUAGGAAAUGCUCUAGUCUUGACGGUACCUUAUUAGAAAGCGACGGCAAACUAUGUGCCAGCAGCCGCGGUAAUACAUAGGUCGCAAGCGUUAUCCGGAAUUAUUGGGCGUAAAGCGUCCGUAGGUUUUUUGUUAAGUUUAAAGUUAAAUGCUAAAGCUCAACUUUAGUCCGCUUUAGAUACUGGCAAAAUAGAAUUAUGAAGAGGUUAGCGGAAUUCCUAGUGGAGUGGUGGAAUACGUAGAUAUUAGGAAGAACACCAAUAGGCGAAGGCAGCUAACUGGUCAUAUAUUGACACUAAGGGACGAAAGCGUGGGGAGCAAACAGGAUUAGAUACCCUGGUAGUCCACGCCGUAAACGAUGAUCAUUAGUUGGUGGCAAAAGUCACUAACACAGCUAACGCGUUAAAUGAUCCGCCUGAGUAGUAUGCUCGCAAGAGUGAAACUUAAAGGAAUUGACGGGAACCCGCACAAGCGGUGGAGCAUGUGGUUUAAUUUGAUGUUACGCGUAGAACCUUACCCACUCUUGACAUUCUCGCAAAACUAUAGAGAUAUAGCCGAGGCUAACGAGAUCACAGAUGGUGCAUGGUUGUCGUCAGCUCGUGUCGUGAGAUGUUAGGUUAAGUCCUGCAACGAGCGCAACCCUUUUCUUUAGUUGCUAACAUUUAGUUGAGAACCCUAAAGAUACUGCCGGCGCAAGCCGGAGGAAGGUGGGGACGACGUCAAAUCAUCAUGCCUCUUACGAGUGGGGCAACACACGUGCUACAAUGGCUACUACAAAGAGCAGCAAAACAGUGAUGUCAAGCUAAUCUCAAAAAAGUAGUCUCAGUUCGGAUUGAAGUCUGCAACUCGACUUCAUGAAGUCGGAAUCGCUAGUAAUCGCAGGUCAGCUAUACUGCGGUGAAUACGUUCUCGGGUUUUGUACACACCGCCCGUCACACCAUGGGAGUUGGUAAUGCCCAAAGUCGGUGAGUUAACUUCGGAGACCAUUGCCUAAGGCAGGACCGAUGACUGGGGUGAAGUCGUAACAAGGUAUCCCU